GAUGAACGCUGGCGGCGUGCUUAACACAUGCAAGUCGAACGGAAAGGCUCCUGCUUGCAGGGGUACUCGAGUGGCGAACGGGUGAGUAACACGUGGGUGAUCUGCCCUGCACUUCGGGAUAAGCCUGGGAAACUGGGUCUAAUACCGGAUAGGACGAUGGUUUGGAUGCCAUUGUGGAAAGUUUUUUCGGUGUGGGAUGAGCUCGCGGCCUAUCAGCUUGUUGGUGGGGUAAUGGCCUACCAAGGCGUCGACGGGUAGCCGGCCUGAGAGGGUGUACGGCCACAUUGGGACUGAGAUACGGCCCAGACUCCUACGGGAGGCAGCAGUGGGGAAUAUUGCACAAUGGGCGCAAGCCUGAUGCAGCGACGCCGCGUGGGGGAUGACGGCCUUCGGGUUGUAAACUCCUUUCGCUAGGGACGAAGCGCAAGUGACGGUACCUGGAGAGGAAGCACCGGCUAACUACGUG
rnacentral:rRNA from 1 species